rnacentral:lncRNA from 1 species
GACCCAGACGGUUGUCCAUAAGCUGGAGGUCCAGAUGGCUUCCCAUAGGAUCCAGGAGCAGGUGGUUGACCAUAAUUUCCAGGUGCAGGCGGUUGACCGUAAUUUCCAGGUGCAGGUGGUUGACCAUAAUUUCCAGGUGCAGGCGGUUGACCAUAAUUUCCAGGUGCUGAAGGGCCACCAGGCCUGAGAUCUCCUUCCUGUCCUUGCGAGAAACUCCUGCGCUCUUGUGGAUCUUGGAAACCUUGACCGGCUUCAUUUACACG